rnacentral:sRNA from 1 species
ACCUGACCACGUCGCUGCUGGAAAAGGCUCGUUCUGCGAUGCCUACGGGCGGCGGCGCUCCCGG